rnacentral:rRNA from 1 species
CACAUGCAGUCGACGGCAGCGGGGACUUCGGUCUGGCGGCGAGUGGCGAACGGGUGAGUAAUGUAUCGGAACGUGCCCAGUAGCGGGGGAUAACUACGCGAAAGCGUAGCUAAUACCGCAUACGCCCUACGGGGGAAGCAGGGGAUCGUAAGACCUUGCACUAUUGGAGCGGCCGAUAUCGGAUUAGCUAGUUGGUGAGGUAACGGCUCACCAAGGCGACGAUCCGUAGCUGGUUUGAGAGGACGACCAGCCACACUGGGACUGAGACACGGCCCAGACUCCUACGGGAGGCAGCAGUGGGGAAUUUUGGACAAUGGGGGCAACCCUGAUCCAGCCAUCCCGCGUGUGCGAUGAAGGCCUUCGGUUUGUAAAGCACUUUUGAAAGGAAAGAAACGUCGCGCCUAAUACCCCGUGGAACUGACGGUACCUGCAGAAUAAGCACCGGCUAACUACGUGCCAGCAGCCGCGGUAAUACGUAGGUGCAAGCGUUAAUCGGAAUUACUGGGCGUAAAGCGUGCUCUUUCUUUUCGAAAANAAAGAUGUGAAUCCAGAGCUUAACUU